rnacentral:ncRNA from 1 species
UAAGGGGUGCCCUAAUAUGACGGGCUGAGACCAUACCCAUUGACCUGAUUCGGGUAGUGCCGACGUAGGGAAAAGAAGAA